rnacentral:rRNA from 1 species
AGUGAACGCUGGCGGCAUGCCUAACACAUGCAAGUCGAACGGCAGCAUGGUCUGACUUUCUAGAUUGGUGUCGCGUGGCGCACGCGGGUGAGGUAUACCGCGGAAUCUCCUUUUGCGUGGGGUAUAACGUCGGGAAAUUUACGCUAACACCACAUACGAUCUACGGGAGAAAGGAGGGGAUCAUCGGACCUUGCGAGAUUGAGUGAGCCGAUGUCGGAUUAGCUAGUGGGCGGGGUAAAGGCACACCAAGGCGACGAUCAGUAGCUGGUCUGAGAGGACGAUCAGCCACACUGGAACUGAGACACGGUCCAGACUCCUACGGGAGGCAGCAGUGGGGAAUUUUGGACAAUGGGCGCAAGCCUGAUCCAGCAAUGCCGCGUGUGUGAAGAAGGCCUUCGGGUUGUAAAGCACUUUUGUUGGGAAAGAAAAGCAUCAGGUUAAUACCUCGCGUUUCUGACGGUACCCGAAGAAUAAGCACCGGCUAACUACGUG